AUUGAAUUAAAGUUGCAACCAAACCACUCAGUCAAAAGAGUCUUGACCACUUGUAGUAUCUUCACCAUCAUCAGAAGAACUGUCACUAUUUGCAUUAAAUGUCAAAAUGAGUUGCAGAAGCUCCCUUCCAACCUCUGAAUUUUCUUCAAUGCUCCCCAGGUUUGUUCUCUGUCUUUGCUGGGAAAGUAAUUGCAACAUUAGGUCCUCUGGAG
rnacentral:misc_RNA from 1 species